UACGGAGGGUGCGAGCGUUGUUCGGAAUUACUGGGCGUAAAGCGCGUGUAGGCGGCUGUCCAAGUCUGAUGUGAAAGCCCGGGGCUUACCCUCGAAAGUGCAUUGGAAACUGGGCGGCUAGAGUAUCGGAGAGGAGGGUGGAAUUCCUGGUGUAGCGGUGAAAUGCGUAGAUAUCAGGAAGAACACCGGUGGCGAAGGCGGCCCUCUGGACGAAUACUGACGCUGAGACGCGAAAGCGUGGGGAGCAAACAGG
rnacentral:rRNA from 1 species